rnacentral:rRNA from 1 species
GGACUACUGGGGUAUCUAAUCCUGUUUGCUCCCCACGCUUUCGCACCUCAGCGUCAAUACAUGUCCAGUCAGCCGCCUUCGCCACUGGUGUUCUUCCGAAUAUCUACGAAUUUCACCUCUACACUCGGAAUUCCACUGACCUCUCCAUGAUUCAAGCGAUGCAGUCUAAAAGGCAAUUCCAGAGUUGAGCUCUGGGCUUUCACCUCUUACUUACAAAGCCGCCUACGUGCGCUUUACGCCCAGUAAUUCCGAAUAACGCUAGCUCCCUCCGUAUUACCGCGGCUGCUGGCAC